rnacentral:rRNA from 1 species
AUACGAAGGGGGCUAGCGUUGCUCGGAAUUACUGGGCGUAAAGGGAGCGUAGGCGGACUGUUAAGUUAGAGGUGAAAGCCCAGGGCUCAACCUUGGAAUUGCCUUUAAUACUGGCAGUCUUGAGUACGGAAGAGGUAUGUGGAACUCCGAGUGUAGAGGUGAAAUUCGUAGAUAUUCGGAAGAACACCAGUGGCGAAGGCGACAUACUGGUCCGUUACUGACGCUGAGGCUCGAAAGCGUGGGGAGCAAACAGGAUUAGAUACCCUGGUAGUCCACGCCCUAAACGAUGAGUGCUAGUUGUCGGCAUGCAUGCAUGUCGGUGACGCAGCUAACGCAUUAAGCACUCCGCCUGGGGAGUACGGUCGCAAGAUUAAA